AAAUGGUCUGAGUCGCCACCCACCAUCCUAACCCUAGACUUAGCUCCAUCGUACAUGUCCUUGAUUACUCUGAUGUAGGCUUCUGGCACACUCUUCGCCUCCAAGCACCUCCAUAGCACCUCCCUUAGGACCUUGUCAUACGCCUUUUCCAAGUCAAUAAGUACCAUGUGCAGGUCCUUCUUCUUAUCCCUGAACUGCUCCACCAGCCUCCUGACAAGAUGAAUAGCUUCUGUAGUGGAGCGACUUGGAAUGAAACCGAAAUGGUUCACAGAUAUUGAUGUCAUCUCACUCAUCCUCGCCUCGAUCAACC
rnacentral:lncRNA from 1 species